rnacentral:misc_RNA from 1 species
AACAUUCUCAGGAAUCAUCUCUGCCUGCUGCAACAGAUGGCCUCUUUGGUUCUUUUAGGUUCUGGGUUAUUGUUUUAUGGGCAGUUUCUGGUUUAGGUUUUGUGGCAGUCAUGUUCACUGUGUUUUUAGGUCGUAAAAGUAAGGGAACUAAGGGGAAAAGUUACAGAAGCAAGAGAAGAUCAUCUUAUUCAGGAUUCUUGGACAUGAAUGGCCGUGAAAGGCUUCUCCACAAUGCUGAAUCAUCCAUGUAACCUUAAAAAUUUUAGAGGACACAAUGAUUUACAGAGAAUUGAGCAUUACAGAGCUUCAUGGAAAGUCUUGAGGCAAAUUUCACAAGCAUAUGAAUGCAGCAAAACAGUGUAGAAUAUUUUCCCAAAAAAGAGGCACUACCACGGAAAAGUUUUGGCUGCUACUUCUAUUGUUGUAACUUUGACCUGUCCCUAGUUUUAUUUCAAUGCAAUAGAAGAAACAAUGAAAGCUUGAAAACAUUUUCUUCAUAAUCUCUAAAUUUUUGAAUCUUGUAACAUUUGUUGUUUGCUUCAUAACUUUCCCCUUGCAGUCCUGAAAAGUUUACUGAUCAUUAGAUCUGUCUUUUCCUGGUUGUAUUUUACUAUCCGAGGUCCUAAUAUUCAUUCUUUUAUUUGCUAUUCCAUUCUAUUCAAUACAGUAUCAUCUUGUA